UACGGAGGAUGCAAGCGUUAUCCGGAUUCAUUGGGUUUAAAGGAUGCGCAGGCGGGGAAUAAGUCAGUGGUGAAAAGCUGCCGCUCAACGGUAGUCUUGCCAAUGAUACUGUUUUUCUUGAGUGUGGUUAAGGUAGGUGGAAUGUGCAGUGUAGCGGUGAAAUGCAUAGAGAUUGCACAGAAGGCCGAUUGCGAAGGCAGCUUACUGAACCAUAACUGACGCUCAUGCACGAAAGCGUGGGGAUCAAA
rnacentral:rRNA from 1 species